UCCAGGUUAUACUGUGUAACUCAAGUUCUCGUGGCGUGGCAUCAGUUGCCUAACAAUGAGCCCACUCUGUUAUCUUUGAACUCAGCUGGUGUUCAAAGAUAAUCUUAUUGAAGAUGCAAUUGGCACAAGUCACAGCCUAACGUCUCCAGAAUUUCACAUUUAUGACCUAUUUUUUCUGAAUGACGUAAUGUACGCAAGCACACAGUUCCAGCGAGCAUUUAAACCUGUUGCUUGUGUCUCCUGGUGGGCCCCAGAGGCAGAGAUGUACCGCGUGAACUGACCGACCUGGCUCUCUAGAAGGAUUUACAUAUGGAGGCCUCGGCUACCAAUACCACCUGCAGAGGUCUCUGGCAGACAUCCUUGAGCAUAGGCUACAGGGAAGCUUGCUGGCUCAUGGAAGUUAAUAGAAUUACUCACCUGAGAAAGGGUCAACUUCUGUUGUUAUUCAUCUACCAAGCGCUCCCCUGGCUCCUGACUGCCUUCAGAGCACAACUAUAUACUGAAGCUGUAUGGAGCUGCUCUUCACCUCUCAAAAAUGAGGAUAUUUCUCUACAGCAAACUUCUGGCAUCUCAGUCAUCACGCAGCAGACUCAUAAGGACUGUGCUGUGUUUGGGCUCUCCAAAGACUUUCAACUGUGUUGCGGAACAAACAGGGUUUCUUCUUUUAUUUCAUGUACAGAAGAGCUACUGACUUCACUGAGGCAUGCAAGUGUAAAAUAUAGAAGUUUUUGAUGAAAUCUCAGAGCAAGUAAUCACCUGUUUCUUUUACCUGAGCCAAGAUUUCUGCUGUUCACUGAAAGGGCUGCAGGAAGAAUACAGUAAGGCCAAAUCCAAACUGGCUGGGUUGGGAGGGAAAUUUGUUGUGAUUGAAGAAAAACUGGAAACUGAUGAGGCAAACUCAUUUCUUAGUUGCUAUUGGCAACAAGGCUCAACAGCAAAGGUGAUAAACAUGUUUUUCAGGUGGUGAAAUAGGACUUGGGAGCAAUAUUUUUUUCUGUUGUAUUUACAACACAAUCUUUAACAGAUUUUUCUCUGUGAACUUGGAGCUGGGAAUCUCCCAGCUGAAACUCCCUUUCUCUUAAGCGGGAAUGGCAGGUUGUCUGAUGCUGUGUUAUGUGUUUUUGUUAUGAGAAUGUGAUUCUAGUAGUUUUUGCAUGCUGAUUUUAGAAAGCAGAGUCACAAACCUCUGCAGAAAUGUGCAAACAAAUGGAUUUCUCUUAGCUUUCUACAUGAAAUGAUGUUUUAACAAUAAGGAGUUUAACCUCAGCUAAAAUAUUUUUAAAGGCCAAAGCUUUGGAAAUAUUUUUUCAUAUAGUUUACCAGUGACAGCUGGGUGAGAAGUGUUCUACCUCUAGUGAAGGAUGUGACUGACUCUGUUUCCUGUUGUCACUAGGCUUUUUGCAUGAAUGAAAUCCAUUGUUCCUCUAAGAGUGGCUGACCUUCUCAUGAACUUUGUUAGGGAAUGCAAAAUAUCCAGUUGGGAUUUUUUAAAGAGGUACUUUUGCACUGAGGUACUUUAAAAAAUAGAGAGGUCUCUUAGUUACAGAAUACAAGGUUGCAGGUGUGCUGUGAUUUGAAAUAUAAAUUGCUACACCAGUGUCCUUAAAAACAAAACUAAAAAAAACCUCCAACCACCAAAAUCCACACUCUGCAAAUACUUCAUUUAGAUGGUUUUGCCUGCUGACCUAUUGCUAAUUAUCUACGAUCAAAAGCACCUAAACAGUACAAGCACAGUGAACUCCUUUAAGUAUGCCUUGAAUCCACAGUGGAAGAGUUCAGCUGACUACCCAAUAACAUGUAAGCACCUGAGUUAUGUUCAGCAGCAGUAAACUUAUCAAUUUUUAUUGCGACUAUAAAACAUAGUCUAAGAAAAAUAAAGCAUUUGAACUGAAAUACGUCAAACUCACAAAAUGUUGGACCUAAUUCUGUGUCAGUCUCUGAGGAUGGAACUAUCUUAGAGCAACUUGUUAGUUUUAUGUAAUAAAUGAAUAUAUUUUGGCACAAUGUGCAUUUUUAGAACUGAAAAAAGGAAUCGUGUUUUUAUAGGCUGCUUAAAAGACAAAGUAAUUUUUUAAACUGAAGUAAAAAUUUAUCUUGAUUUAUACUGUGUAAACCAGACACAGAUAGAGUGUGUGUGUGUGUGUGUGUAGAACAGCGUAGGAUAAAGCCUAAAACUUUAGAAUUUACAAUUCUAUCCAAUAAUUUAUUCCAUUCAGACAAGCUUUAAUGCUGAGGUGAUUAAAACAAGGGUAUAGAGCCGUCAAAUACUGUGAUGUCUUCCGUGCUCAGAACUGCUUCCCUCUCCAGUCCAGCUCCACCUGUUAACUCAUUUCUUCAUUUCCCUUAAGGGCAGAUGGUGGAUUAUAAAAACCACCCAGAACUCUUUUGGGGCACACAUCACUUCCCACUCUGGCUUGAGCAGUGAAUGAAACUCAAGUUGCCUGGGGCUAUCAUAAUAUAUGCCACCAAACACCCAUAUUAAAUUUAUGUCAUCUCUCAGUGAACAGUAGGGGGAGAACGUCCAGCUCUUAGCUCUGCAAUUAACGUGCCCCGUGCAAAAAAUAGGUCCAUACGAACUGGAACUGCCAGUGGUUCUGCGAUCCCAGGAAAAGGCAGAAUGACCGAUGUCCUGGUGCUGUUACUGACUGAGAACACUUGAGCCAAUGUUUUGCAGACAAAUGUUGUAAAGCCCUCUGAAAAGCAGCUUUUGAUAUUCCCGCUGCAGGUACAGGGAAAUUAAAUAUAACAUGAUCACAGACAGAGCGAAUCAGAGAUGGAAUUAGCAUCAACAAUUUGUUGGGUCCUGUCAUGUGCUCAGACAAUUAAGACCUAUUCACUUCAUAUGAAACUGUCAUCACAAGAUCAACUAUGGCGGCUUCUGAACACAGCAGCCAGUUACUCUGCAUCUAGUCCCUGAAAAAGACAUUGAUAUAUGAAAAUACAUAUAA